GCCUUCCCGUGCAUCAUUAUCUUCUUCACUACAACACUCUUCCGUCUCUCUUUCACACAACCCUUCUCUCACGAACUCUCUCUACUUCUCCACUCUAUUAUCUGAAAUAUCCCUCACCAUCUCUGUGCUCACUGCACAGAAAAUUGCAGUACCAUCUCCACCUCAUUCGCCACUCCAGUGAACCUUGCCACCACCCAAACACCACACUGGCACUCUCUCUCUCUCUCUCCUCUCUCCGCCUCUCAACUUCUUCCGUGACAGACAGAAGCACAUAAGGAAUGACGGUGGGGGAACUGCCGUUCUUUGGCGAGGCAACCACCAACUUUAUUUCUCUCGUCACCACAGACUCCCAUUACUUUUUGCUUUUUGGAAACCAAAAUCGACGCAGUGAAAUGACAAGCUCCGUCGUGGCCUGGCUUCCCUGGUGAGAUUUUCCGUUGAAUCUAGUAUAGGUGAGUCUCGAAAACACCUUAGUUAGGUUAUCUAGGUUGUUUAGAAAUGUUUUCGUGCACUGGAUGCCUGAUUUGUUUAAGGUUGGAUGCAGUUUCAACUCGGGAGAAAUUCCCCAGAUUUUCGGUGAGGCUCGCGAGUUUCAAGCUUAUUUUAGGCUAUCACCGGCCGCUGAAUGGCCGUGAGGAAGGUAUAUUUUGAAUCCUUACCUUAGUAACUUUUUUUGGGCUUUUGAAUCACUGAAAAUGAUUUUGUUUUGGGAAUGAAUUCUAAAACCCCUGGUGUAGCUGCAGGGGAUGGCGCGUGGAGUUGUGCGUGGUACUGCUGGGGAUGGCACGUGGUGCACAGACGGCUUCACCGAAUGAUGAGUGGCUGAAAGGAAGAAUAUACGUUUGAAAUCAUUACCUUGUUUUUUUUCUUUAAUUUAUAAUGUUGAUUACUUGGUUCAGUCUAAUCUGUCAAGAAGAGAAACUAUGAGAAAUAUUUUCCUCUAUUCUGAUCUGGUGUUUUCAAAUGUUUGUUUUAGGUUGUAAUGUGUUAUGAUGUUAUUUUAAAUUUUUAUUUUUAUUUUUUAUAUUUAACUGAUAGAGCACAAUUACAAAAAUUGUGCUAACAUGAAUUUGAAAUGUCACCUGACACAUGUGUCGGAACAGGGGCACAAAAAUACACUUAUCUGUGCUCAACCCUUUGAGCACCAAUAGCCAUAUUGUGCUCUCUAAUCAAUGGUGACGCCCAUAGAGGGCAUAUAUACAAAUUUAGUUGUUGCAUCGUUGCUAUUGCUCUAUGGGCACAAUUGUUGGUGCUCUUUAGCCUCAAAUGGCACAUAUAAUUUAUUGUGUGCAGUGCCCAUUUUUGUUGUAGUGUGGUCCUUUUAACUUCGUGCCAUUUUUUGUAUUCGUUCAACCAAGUUAGUGUAUUGCUAUAAAUAUCCAACGGAUCUAGAGCUGAACCACUCCACACAAAGGAAUUGUGUUCCUUCCAGAUACUCCAUACAAUAGCCAAUGACAUAUCAAAGCUCUCCCUUGACAACGAAGCCACGAACUCCGCCAGCCAUUCACGCAUCUUGCCAAGUCUAUCCCUGUGACUAAAAACUAUUUUAGUGAAAUUGCUUUGGGUUGCAAAAGCACUGUAAGUGCUUUUUGAAAGAAGCACUAGAUAUAUGCUUCUUACAAGAAGCACUUAAAAGUGUUUGUUCAAGAUCUACUUGGAUUUUAUUAAGAGUUGAUUUAAAAACAUUUUCUCCAAAUGUGUUUUCAAGUCAUUUUAAAUCACUUUCAAACGAGUUCUUGACAAGUUGUCUAAUUUUUUAGUGGUUGUCUCCACCCUUCUAUCUGAGAUAAAACAUGGACUUGAAGUAAUUAAUAGAAAUCGACCCUUUAAAAAAUGUAUUGUAUGAACGUAUGAAAUUUGACAAACUCAUAUUUACUUGAUACAAGUUCUUGGAUGUAAUGAUAAUCAAUCUCAAUGUGUUUUAUUCGAGCAUAAACACAUGAUUUGUUGUCAGUGAUACAGAGCUAUUUCCAAAACAUAAAAGUUGAUGGUGUGGGCAGUGUGAAACCAUUAUCAUGAAACAACUUGUAAGUCCUGGCAUUUUCAUCGACAUAGAUAGCCAAUGAUCUAUCCAACCUUUGUGAAAGAUUUGCAAAAAUGACACUCCAUCUAAUCAAAUUUUGGCCAAGAAAUAUGUAACUGUCACUCAUGAUCUUUUAUAAAAGGGUAAUGCUAGAUAGAUCAAAUUUUUAAAUCAAAUUGUGUAAACCAAAUGAUGUGGUUGAUGAUGAUUGAAUUAUUAGUUAAAUGUCGAUUAAUGUGCUUAUUUCCUAUUGGUGACACAUCAUUUGGUUUGUAAAUUUGGUCUCUCUAAUAUAUCUUUUAUUAAACACAUCCUGCUCAAUUAGAGUCUGAAUAAGCAUGCAUGUUGCAUUAUUUGUAAUUUUGUAGUGUUUUCUCUUUAUUCGAAAUUCAACCACCGUUCGUUUCCAAAAAAAUUACUUCUACUUCGUGGUUAUAACAAUUUUAGAAUGGUUGUUUAACUGGAGAACCUUGGUUGUUUUCUUUGUUUUAAGAUAAAAUAGAGAAACAAAAAAGGUCAUGGGUAUUUUGGUUAUCUUGAUUUUAAAGUUGGGUGUGCAAAGAAAAUUAUACCUUGAAAAUGGGUGGGCCAAUCCAUAGAACAUUUUCCUUGAUGGAAUUGUGGAUGACAAAUGCACGGAGGUGCCACGUUGCCUUUGGAACGAGGAUCCUUUUGUGAGGAUUCCGUCGUUCGUACAUCGUAUAUCGUGCAGUUAAAAAUUAUUAUAAAUUUUUUUUAUUUAAAAUUGAAUAUAAACGGUAUCUAACAAAAACUAAUUGCAUGAUAUACGAUAAACGGACGUGAUUAAAUGAUCUUUAUGAUCCUCACAAAGAGGAUCCGGAAGGAUCCUCAUUAUUGCCAAACGACUUUGAGUUUAGGGGGUCAAUUAUAAAAACUUUUAGUAAAAAUGGCAAACACAGAAAAGAGAAAAAAUUCAGGGGCAUAAAUGCAAUUUUCCAGAUGAAAUCAAAUCAAAUUUAGCCUAUGCUGGCUCAUAAGUUUUAAUCGUCCGAACAAGCCCCCACAAAAUUCCGAGGAAAUGAAGGCAUAAAGUAAAAUCCUGUCACCGUCCCAUUGAGCUGCUGCUGUAGAUAGAUAGAGCCUAGAGGGAGACCCUUUGUCUUCUCUUUUACUGACACCUCGAGUAACCUCCUCCUCGUCCUCCUCCUAAAAGCCAAACCCUUUUAAUUUCUAUGGUCUUUUGAGUGAAUGGCUUCAUCUCUUUUCGCAAGGACUCUCCUGGGUCAUCGCCUUUUCCACUCUUCCUCUCACUCUCUCUGCCAAAAGCCCCAAUUUUUCACCUCCCUCUUCAAUGUAAGUAGCAAGCUUCCUUUCUUUUCGUGUUUAAUCUUCGAUUUUGAUUUGUGGGUUUUGUUCUUUUCGAUAAUAUGCUUAUUCCCUUUUGGUAAAUUUUCGAUCUUUUGGUUUUAGCCGGUCAUUUUUCUUGCUCUAUAUAUCUCAAUUUUUGUAUUUUGUUCAUGGGUUUUAGUUUUAUAAGUGAAUUGAGUUUGGAAAUUGGUCUGGAAUGUUUGGGAGUGCUUUCCUGACAAGGGUUUUUCUUUGUUUGAUCAGCUAAGUGAUUUGUGGUAAUGUUGUAGUUUACUAUUGUGAAGGUGUUUAGUGUGAUUGUUAUGUAAAUGGUCUUAGUUCCUGAAUGUAUUCAAUGACCCUAGCAGCUCCGUUUGACUCCGGUAGCCAUGAACUGGAAAGAAGGGAAUUUGUUGGAGUCUGCUUGUAUGUUUUCUAGAUUCCCCCUUUGAUUGUCGUUAUGAUAUAAAGUGUUCGGUAUUGUAGUUCUCGAAGUGAUUUAUUGGCUGUGUGUUUAAUUAAAUAUUAUAUACACUACUUGGAUAUCGAUUGAUGUAGAUUACUCUGUCUAAUUUACAUAACAAAUUCGAUCAAACCAUUGAAAAUCCUGUAGUUUCUUAGGCGGAAGAGCUUCCUUUAAAGAUGUUUUUCUGGAUUGAGUGAUUACUGUGGAAUCGUUGAGAAACAUGUAUUCUUCAUAGUGUGCAAAGAUUAUUGCACAAUCCUCUUUACCUAAAAACUCAUGUUUUAUUUUAAGAGGCCUUGUCUGAAUCAUCCACAAUUGUUCGUCUUCUCUGUGAUUCCAUUUUGAUUUGAUUUGGGAAGUAGUUAACUUAAUCAUUACGUUUGUUUAUUAAUUUGAAAUACGCUUUUCAGUUUGAGCAGUUUACUAAAUCUAAUAUUUUUUCUUAUGUCAAGAUUUAAUAUAAUUAUUUUUCUGUCAAUGCAGAAGGGAACAGAACACUUUCAAGCUGACCCUACCUAUAGAAGAUAUAGAACAUCUGCCUGGGUUCCUCGUGUUAUGGCUUCAUCAGUAGCUGGCGCAAGAGCUGAUUUUUCAACACAAUCUGUGUCGACAAAAGAGCCUGUUGUUUCUGUUGAUUGGCUCCAUGCUAACCUCAAAGAGCCUGAUCUGAAGGUACCGUGUUUUGGCUUGUUUAUACUGAACUAUUUAUUCAUCCUUCCCUUUCUUCCACUGGAGUGUAAGUCUGGAAUAAGUUGAAGAUAUUACUAACGAAUGCUUGAUUAUAUGUAAUUUUUUUCAAUUGGUUCAUAAUGUAUGUUGUCAUCAUCAUGAUUUUCUAAUUGGAGAUGGCACUUCUGUUCUGCUUUCCUAUAUGCUUCCUUUUUCCCUAUGCAUGUUGGUAAACUAUUUUUAGUUAUCUACUUCAGGUGCUAGAUGCAUCUUGGUAUAUGCCUGAUGAGCAAAGGAAUCCAAUUCAAGAGUAUCAGGUGCUCACCAAGCUUUCUGGACUGAUGCUGUCAUGUGAUAAUUCUUAAUAAUAUCUGUAUCAAUGGAUUCAAUUCCAAUCUUGUUCUAAGAUCUUCAUGUUAUUUCGUAUUGCUUCAUUUUCCACUACGGCUCAUUUUGGUCAAUUAAACCUCUUCGUCAUGACAGGUUGCUCACAUUCCUGGUGCACUUUUCUUUGACGUGGAUGGAAUAUCAGAUCGCAAUACUAAAGUAAGAUGUUUUCUAUUCUAUGUUUCUUGUCAAAAUAUGAUAUCAGAUCGCACUAGCAUCACUAGCAAUGAAUGCUAGUGUUGGAUGUUGAAAUCAGCAGCCUUAUUUUCUUUGCUUCUUGAGCUUCAUUCUGGCCCUUUUUUCACAUUAGGGAAAUAAGGAUGAAACUAGUAUGGCCACAAAACGCCUGAGUCUAUUUUCUUAACGUGCCAACUAUAUUCUUAGCGAUUUAUUUCAUUCCACUAGUUUGAAUUAACUUAGAAAUACAUUCUUAUUAGCCAUUUUGGAGAAGAAUUCAGAUUAUAUGAUUAAGCUGUUAAUAUUAAUCUGAUGAAUGACUGUUGACCAAAAAAAAAAUAUGAUGAAUGAUUCUUCAUGUCAACAAAUUCUGAUGAAUAGUUCUUGAUGUUGUUCUUAUGAGUGUGUGGGCCAUGAUGGCCAGGCAUACACACCACUUUUCUAACUAUCUUGCUCUUUCCUGUUCUCUCUUAUUGAAGACUAGAAUUAUGACUUGUAACAGUUACCGCAUAUGUUACCAUCAGAGGAAGCCUUUGCUGCUGCUGUUUCUGCUCUUGGCAUUGAGAACAAAGAUGAUCUUGUUGUGUAUGAUGGAAAAGGGAUCUUUAGUGCAGCUCGUGUGUGGUGGUAAGUUAUGGGACUGAUUCGGAAGAUUUAAAGUUUUAACUCAUCUGAAAUGUGAUAAAAAAAAAUUGUGUUUUACGCUUUUUCAUUGUGUUACAAUCUAAUGUUUCAUUUCCUUAUAAAAAUGAAAGGAUGUUCCGAGUAUUUGGCCAUGACAGAGUUUGGGUUUUAGAUGGAGGCCUGCCAAGGUGGCGUGCAUCUGGAUUUGAUGUUGAAUCUAGUGCCUCUGGUGAUGCAAUUUUGAAAGCUAGUGCUGCCAGUGAGGCAAUAGAGAAAAUAUACAAGGGACAAGCAGUAAGUUCAUUAUAUACUUGUCUCUGAAAACAGUUAUGUUUUAACGCUGACCGGGAUUUUGGAAUUCUCUGACUCCAAAAGCCAUUAGCAUAUGGUUAUGGUUAUUACAGUAUGUUUUGUGAAAUCUAGAUGUUGUUCUUUUUAUUUAUGUUUUUCAUAGUUUUAUUGUGGACGCUUAAGCCAGGAUAAAUGUCUUAAAUCAUAGGUUCUCUCUUUUUUUUUCACUUCCUCAAUUCUUGUAGUGUCUGUUUGCAGUCUACUUUCUCUAUACCUUGUACAUUGUAGAUUUUCUUGAGAUCUAGAAAAUUGCAAUUCUCUCCUCUAGGGACAUAAGUAAAGAAAUUUGGAAGUUUGAUGGGGGGUUGAGCUGUUGAAUGUUAUCCUAGAGUUAAGAACUUUAGUUUUCCAUUCUUUGGGAAAAGGAGGGUGUAGGGUUCGGUCAGUCCUUGAAGGUCGCAUGUCGACUAAAUUGACCUUGUCUGACGUGACGCUUUUCCUAAGUUUUUAUGAUAACAUGUGAUAGUUUUCAAGGCUGCUUGUGAUGGUUUUGGGGAAGAAUUUUUGUUCUGCAGGUUGGGCCCACCACAUUUGAGACUAAGUUUCAGCCACAUCUUGUCUGGACUCUUGAUCAGGUUUGGUUUCUCUAUCUUAAUUGACUAGUAAAGGUGCAUAUCUUGAAUUCAGCCCUGAAAUUUGUGGCAAGUAUGGGUUUACCUUUUUUUUUUUUUUUUUAUAUACUCUCAUUUUAUACUUCCAACUGUAUUUUUCAGGUUAGAAAAAAUGUUGAGGAAGGAAGUCACCAACAUAUAGAUGCCCGAUCAAAGGCCAGGUAUUCUUUAUGCUAAAUCAACUAAUAUGAAGCUUGAGUAAUUCUUGGUCUGUUUUAUUUUCCCGGUAAUUGUGUAAAUCAUCAGCUGGAACGUGUUCAUUCAUGCAUUGUGAAAUAAUAAUCUUGAUUGAGAUAAUAUAACAGUAUGUUGAGCACUCAAAAUUUUCUCUGCCUCACACAAAGGAACUUAUGCAGAUUAUAUGGAGACAUUUUAUUAGAGUUCUUUUCCUAUUUGUGAUGUGUUUUAAAAAAAAAAAAAAAUUAGAUUACAUGAUCUUUGAAGGCCUAUUUUCUGAUUAUUGUUCUUGCAUUAACAAUCUUGGAUUUGACGGAAAUUUGGUGUUGCAGGUUCGAUGGAACUGCAUUAGAGCCUCGAAAAGGCAUAAGAAGUGGUCAUGUGCCUGGAAGCAAGUGCAUUCCUUUUCCACAGGUAAAAAUAUCAAAUUCUUGUGUUACCUCUUAUUCCUUUUGAAACUGCAACAAAGUCUAGUUGGGUGUGUAAAAAACGGUAUGCUGCAUAAGCUGUUGAGUAACAAAUGGGUUCUUUCCUUGCAGUUGUUGGAUUCUUCAGCGACACUCUUACCAGCAGAUAAGCUGAAAGCCCGAUUUGAUGAAGAAGGUAAUAACUUCUUUGUUUUAUUAUUACUUUUUUGCUGUAGUCUUAGAUCUUGAAUACUUUUGUAUGUACCCUUAGCUGCUCUACAGUUUCCAAGCGUUGUCUCCUUUUUUAAACAUAAAAACUCAACCGCAGACAAAUAUUUUAAUUGGUCACAAGGUAUCUGUCUGUUAUUAUUAAUUAAUGACCCUAACCUCAUGCUGCAGGUAUCUCCUUGGAAAGCCCUGUCGUUACUUCAUGUGGUACUGGUGUGACAGCUUGCAUUCUUGCAUUGGUAAUCUCUCUCUCUCUCUCUCUCUCUCUCUCUGCAUACCCAGCACCCACUAAAUUUCUUGGAAGUAUUAGAGCUGCAGAGAUGAUUUUUUUUUUUUUUUCAAUAGUUGAUCAUGAACGUAGAGGUCGCACUUGGUGCGAUGGCAAGUGCCUUCGCCCAUGAGCGGUAGGUCUCGGGUUCAAGACUUGGGAGCAGCCUCUCCAUAAAUGGGGGUAAGGCUAGCCGACAUUCACCUCUCCCAGACCCUGCGUAAAACGGGAGCCUUGUGCACUGGGUACGACCUUUUUAGUUGAUCAUGAACGUAAACAAUGGUUUUAUUUUUCCAGUUACGUUCUUUUAAUAAAUAUUUUAGCAAGGAACCAUGCCGCAUUUAUUCCUACUUCUCGUAUUCAUGUGCUCUUUCAGGGCCUUCAUCGACUUGGUAAGCCUGAUGUACCAGUCUAUGAUGGAUCGUGGACUGAAUGGGGAGCGCAGUCCGACACACCCGUCGACAGUUCUACAGAAAGUGCGUAAUGGAGCGGUAUUGCCGGACGCUAGUUGGAACCAUGAACAGCCUGGGGUUUGCCCCCAAUACUCAGAUUACAACGAAAGAGGUUGCAUCUCAAUUAAGACAUCCGGUAUAAGUCAUGCUAUCGAAUUGCAACCUGUGUUUUUCUUGUUAAAAUCUCAACCUUUAGUCCCCUCCUUUGUUUGAACACUGAUGAGAAUCUUAUGUGACACAUGAAUCAAAGCAGCAGAAAUAAUCCUUUGUGGUAAAUAUUUCAAGUCGAAAACCAUGUACUCUUCCUGGCUUGAUAAAGUAAAUAAGUUUUGUUUCCAUAUUUCUUGAACUUUUCACUCUUCAUUUCCUUGUUGAAGAUGAUUUUCGGCAAUUUUUUUUUCCGUUUCCGACGCCAUUACAGAAAAUGGCUGCUGGAUAUAUAUUUUCAAGAGAUGAAAAGAUACAUACGAACACCGAACAGAAACUAGAAUACGAUCUCGAUUCGAAGAGAGAAACAUCAUAUUUACAUGCAUAAAAUUCUUGUCAAGUUGUAGAUGUGAGCAGUAGGUUGAGAUUGUUGGAGAGUGAAGGCUUUGAUUGAGCAUCAAAGUGUUCUGCUAGUAUCGCCACAAACUUCUUUGGGACCAGGCAGUUAUUCUCCAAAUAUAGCUUCUCUUGAAGAACAGGAGAUGCAACUACUUGCAGCUCUUCAAUGGGAGGAGCUUCUUUCAAUUCCUGCACGCAUAAGAUCUUAUGUUAUAAACAGUUUUAUAAGUUUUCUUUUAAGCAGUUGGAAAAUUAUUUCCGCACGCUCUCUCGACCACUUUGACUCCUCUUGUUUUUAGCUACAAGAUUGAAUCGAGGAACAAAAACGAGCAUGGGCGUGGAGGACAAAAACGGAGUGUGAAAAUUAUUUUCAAGUUAAGCAAUCUAGUAUCGUCUACACUCGAAUUCAGGCUUCUGAAAUAAGCAAAGACAAGAUUGGAAAAAAGGGUUAUUCAAGCAGGAUUAAUUGUUAAUAAUUAUUCAUUAUUUUAAUCAUCAUAAUCAUUAAGAUAAUCGGAUUUACAGAAAUAAAAUGAUAAAAAGAAAAAACAAAGGCUAAAAAAAGAGCUGGAUAAAUGGAUUUGAUGUUACGUGUACAUAUCUCAAAUUGAAAUUAUUUCGAGUGUGACGGUCAGAUAUAAAUAAACAAAGAAAUAAUAGUAACUAGACUUUUGGAUGGUGGAAGUAAAAUUUAGAAGGAAAAACUCAGGAAAAUACCUUGAAUGACCCCAUGAGUUGAAGAAUCCCAACUUGGGCCUGCAAGUACUUGACAUAGUUGUAAGCAGCAGUGAGCAUCUCAGCUGUGUUCAUCUUACUUCCUCCAGGAACAAGCUUCCCUAGCGCUUGAGUCUUCUCUGUGAUCUUCCUCCUCCUUUCUCUAGCCGCUAUACUCUGAGCUGACACACAUUUUUCACCCACUUUUUUCUUAUUAGCAACAUUAGUUAUACUCUCGUGUCCAUGAUUAAUGUUUGCUCCUGCGCUAUUAGUUAAAUCCUCCGGAAGUUGAUCGAAUUUGGGAAGUGGAGUAGGAAAAACUUGGGCACAGGCAUCAACGAGGGUAGCGGACACAAAUUUGGAACAAACCCAUUAGAAAGAGUAAAAUCCGGUGAGAAGCAAUCUUGGAAACAUUUUUGGCGUUUCGGGUUGGGGUAGGGAUUGAAAUCAGGGGCAGUGAGAGAGAAACUAUUAUGUGGGAGAAGAAGAUGAUCAUCAGUAGUAGUAUCAUGAUCAUGAUUUUCAAGGUUUAGAAGAUCGUAGGGGUCAUACCAUGAAUGAUAUUCAUCAACAAAGCUGUUGGAAAAGUUGGAAUUAAUAUUAUACUCGGAAUAAUAAUAAUAUUGAAGGAAGUCUGCUGUUAAGAGCUCUGCUUCCAAGUUUUGUUGGAAACAAUUAGUGAUCGUCAUCUCUGAGUCGAAAGCCUGAGGAGGCAAUGGACUCAAGGCCAUGAAAUAUAUGUGCUUAAAACCUGAAAAAAAGAGAGAGGAAGUAAAAGAAAUUAGAAAAUGAACACAGCAUAGAGAAAUUAAGUAUACGUAAUUAAGAUUUUAACCAUGCAUGCAUAAUAAGAUGUUUAAUAUUUCGUCCAGAAGCUGUACGUGUACAAGGCGAGUACGAAAAGGAAGUAUAUACAUAGCGAUUCGUAGAUAGCUAGAUUCUUGAAAAGAGAGUAAAACUGCAAGCAGUGAGAGAGAGGGAGAGAGAGAGAGAGAGAGAGAGAAUUGUACCUGAGAAGAUACUGUGUAAGGUGAAAAUGUUGGUUGUUGUACAAGAGUAGACAGAAGCAGACCUAAACAAGACCUGAGAUAGAAUUACCACUAAUUAACUGCUACAACUUAUAAAAACCGACUUAAUCCUUAAUUACUUGUGAGAGAGAGAGAGAGAGAGAGAGAGAGAGAGUAUUGAGAAAAAAGUGGAGGUUGAGGGUUGGAACGGUUACCAAAUAACAACCUGCGCGGGAAAGUCUAGGGUUUUUAGCUUAUCUUAACUGUAAGUGAAAACCGCUAUACAUGGUGGCUGCAAUGCCCUAACUUUUACCUAGUGCAUAUAUAGCCUUAGGACAAAAGACUAUAGUUUAUCUUGUUAAUUUCAAGGACUGAAAAUUAAAAGGAUUAACAUUGACCUAAGGGGAAAGGGUUUAAUUACGACAUCAGUAUGCUUAGGUUUUUUUUUAUUGCAUUUGCUUAGUUAAUUACAUAGUCUAAUUAAAUAUGGUCCCGCUAGCGUUAUUUAGGUGCACUUUACAUACGUCAUACAAUAUUGGAACCUAUGAUCCAAAAUGCCGACAAAUUUAUGAACUCAAAUAUAUUAGAUGAAGAAAAUAUCAUUAUUCAUUCUAGUUUUUAAUUUUGCUAACAUGAUUAAUUAGUGUUGCUAUUAGAACCACAUUACUGAUCACUUCUCUAUUACAAGUGAGUCUCUCAUACAUAGGUGAAGCUCAUCUCUAUUAAAGAGACCAUCAAUAUAUUUGGUGCAACUAUUCUUAAUGAUAUAUAUGUCAAGUUAAGAUUGGCCAUUGCUAAUUUUAUCUAUAUGAAAAUAUUGACUAUUAAUCUAUACUAAUCUGAAAUGGCAUAUACCACACAAAACCGUGAUUGCCACCCCAUGUAUACCAGUUCAACCUUAAAAUUUGGAAUCUGAGAUUUGUGGUGGGUAUAGUGACCGAAUAUUGCUCUCUCACUUAAUAAUUUGGCAUGUUUGUCAAAGGUUAAUCUAGAAACAUUACUUUAGAUCCAAGAAAUCUCACACUCUCGUUUAGAACCGUUCGUUUAACACCAAAUAUAGAAGAAAAGGAGAAAACAGUGGAGAAAAACAGGGUCAGACUGUAAGGCCUUGGUUCAUCUUCUCUCAAUCUUCAAUCUUCUCACGUCAAUACAUUAAUUGUCCUUUAUAUUUUAUUUUAGUUUAAAAAAUUUCAAAGUAAAACACUAAGUUCUAUCUGGUAAAGUUCAAUCAUGGCAACGGGAGAGAAGAUUGAAGAGCCUGGAAAGGAUAAUAAAGUCACUCAUUCUGAAGAACAAGAAAAAGAGUUAUCCAAGGAUAUCCAAGAGAAGGGUAAUGAAGCAAAGGAUUUGAAAAAUGUUGGGGAAAGUGGUGAAUCUAAAAAGAAUGAGGAUGUCACUAAGAAGGCGGUGGCCGAGGAGAAGAAGAAGAAGAAUGAGGAUGAAAUACAGAAGAAGAACAAUGCAGUUGAAAAGGGAGAUGAGAAAAGUUCAACAAUGGCGAUAGAAAAAAAGCUAGAAAAUCCCCAGGAGGAUGUGAAAAUGUAGGUGAGGCUGGUGAAUCUAAAAAGGAUGAGGGUGUAAUUGAAAAGGAGGUGGUGGAGGAGAAGAAGGCGAGUGAAGGUGAAACGAGGGAGAUUGUGGUGGAGGAGAAGGCUAAUGAAGGAGAAAUUGAGGAUGUGGUAUUGGAAGAGAAGAACAAUGAUCAGGUUGAAAAAGUUGAGAAAAGCUCAUCAUUCUGGGACUUAAAAGAGCAAGAGAAAAGGGCUUUGAUGGAGCUGAGAUCCAAGCUCGAAAACGCAAUACUUGAGAACAAGUUGUUUGAGGGAAAUAAGAAGAAAAUGGUGGAGCAUGAGAAGGAAAAGGUAUUGGAGAAGGAAUGUGGAGAGAAAGAGAAAGUAAUAGAGAGUGAGCCUGUGAAGGAAGCUGAGAAAGAGAAAGAAAGUUCCGAGAAAGUAGAAGAGGUUGAAGAAAAGGGAAAGAUAUGUGAGAAGGCAGGUGGGGAGGAGGAGAAAAUCAAUGAGGGGAAAGGAGAGGAAAAUGCUAUGAAAGAAGCUGAGAAAGAGAAGGAUAGUUUGACGAAAGUAGAAGAAAUUGAAGAAAAGGGAAAGAUAUCGAAGAAGGAAGGUGGAGAGACGAAGAAAAUAAAUGAGGGGAAAGGAGAUGAAAUAGUCGUGGAAAAAACUGUGAAGGAGAAGGAAGGCUCUAAGGAGAUAGAAGAAAAGUUAGUAGUAAAAGAAGAGAAACAAUACGGCGAUAAACCUUCCAAGCAAGAAGACGAGGAAAAUGCGGAAAAGGCAGAAGAAGGCCUGAAAGAGAACAACAAUGAGGCUAUUGAUCAGGAUAGAAAGCUUGACGUUAUCGAUAAGGAUAUCACAAUUUGGGGGGUACCCUUAUUGCCUAGUAAAGGAGAUAGUGGCACUGAUGUGAUACUAUUGAAGUUCUUAAGGGCUAGGGAGUUCGAUGUCUAUGAUGCUUUCGAGAUGUUGAGGAAUACGCUCCAAUGGAGGAAGGACAACAAGGUGGAUUCGAUCUUGGAUGAAGAAUUUGGUGACGAUCUUGGUUCCAUAGGGUGUAUGAAUGGUGUGGGUCGUGAAGGACAUCCGGUUUGUUAUAGUAAUUUUAAGCUGCUUGGGGAUGAAGGGGUGUAUGACAAAAUACUAGGGACUGAAAAGAAUCGCGAUAUGUUUAUAAGGCGGAGGGUUCAACUGAUGGAGAAAGCAAUUCAGAAGCUCGACUUUAAGCCUGGUGGAGUGUCCUCAAUCCUCCUAGUCAAUGAUCUUAAGGACAUGCCUGGUCCUUCUAAGAAAGAGCUUCGACAUGCUACAAAGCAGGUUGUCGGGAUACUUCAGGACAACUAUCCUGAAUUUGUUGCAAGAAAUGUAAGAUCCUUCUUUUCAUGAGCCUUCAAAUUUUCAUCCAUACAAUUUUCUUUAUAUCAUGCCUUGCAAUGCAAGUAAUGGAACAUUUUACAUUUUGGUGUAGAUCUUCAUCAAUGUUCCAUUCUGGUACUAUGCCUUAAGUGCUACUAGCGCUGUCCUAUUGCCUUUCUUAACUCCAAGAACCAACAGCAAAGUUGUCUUCGCACGCCCGUCCAGGGUCACAGAAAUCUUGCUCAAGUAACAUCCUUAGCUUCAUACAGCACUAAUUGUUGAUUGGCCUAUUAGAAAGUAUUGAACUAAAACUUAUGAUUAUUCAUUACAGGUAUAUAGCUGCAGAGGAACUACCGGUCCAUUAUGGCGGGCUGAAGCGGGAAGAUGAGUUUGAUUUCUCAACUGAAGAUGCUUCCGCAGAGAUUACUGUUUAUCAAUCAUCAUCAGAAACUGUUCAAAUCCCUGUACCAGAGGUAUGUGCACUCAAAAAAAAUUAUUCAAUCUUGUGGCUACUAUAUAUCAAACCCGGAACCAUAAUAAUAUGUUGAUGGUUGAUGCGAAACAGGCAGGAACAACUUUAAAGUGGGAAAUUACCGUGUUGGGUUGGGAAGUACACUACAAGGAAGAAUUCUUUCCAACUGAUGAGGGAUCAUAUGGCAUUAUCAUUCAAAAGGGCAGGAGGCUUAGUGCGCAAGAGGGUUCUCUCCGAAAUUCUUUCUCGAACAACGAACCUGGAAACGUUCUUUUAACAAUUGAGAACGGAUCAUUGAUGAAGAAGAAACGCGUUUGUUAUCGAUACAAGGUCAAGAAUGGUUCUUGAGAAAUUGUACUCAGUCUGAAAAGUGUUUAUGAAAUUGUUCAAGAUAGGCAGUAUGCCUGGGAAGUCCCAUACAAUAAGUUACAUAGGUAGCACAAGUUUUCUUUUAGUAAUGACAACGUUAUUUAACACAGCAUUGUUUUGGCCGUGUAAUUUGUGAAUGUGUUUCCACUCGGAAUUGGAUGACAUUUUUUCUAUGAAUUUUUGGAGGAUGAUAUUCAUAUGUAAACUAGUCGCCGGCAACAAUUUUGUGUUGUUGGCGGCGCAGCCAUAUUUAUGAAUCUUCAAGUUUUGUUUGUAGAUCAAUCAUUGACGCGCACAAUACUUCUUCUAAAAAAUUUGUUAAACCCUAAACAAAUUGGAUGGAACUAGGCCUGAGUUUCAGCCGGAACGGAUCGAAUAUGUUUCUAAAUAUAAUACAAAAAGUUUUGAAAAUGAAUUCAAUUCUAAUUUUGGAAUCUCAUAAUUAUGAGAGUUACAAGACUUCAUCAAUACCAAGUUUAAAAGUACCUCAUCUAAAAGUUUGAUAAAGCUCUUGUCAACGAUCGCGUGGCCUAAUGGAUAAGACGCUGGCCUACGGUGCGGGAGAUUGUGGGUUCGAGUCCCAUCGCGAUCGUUCUUUGUUUUAAUCGUUCAUUUUGCUGAGUGCAAUUUCUUGUUCUUCAUGUUGAAAUUAAAUGGGGGCAGAAUUGGAAAAUCAGUUUUCUUCACUCUAUUCUCAUUAGCAAUGCUAAAAUUACAAAUUUUUAAUUACAGUGAAUUCAUGAUUUUUCAGUCUCACUACGAGUUUAUGAAAAUUUUAGAACAUUUAUCCUCCAGCCAUAAAUGAAUUUUUUUUUCUUAAAAAAUUAGACAACUGAUGGAAAACCACGGUUAUCGAAUAAAUAAAUUAAAUGUUACUAACAAUUUUUUUUAUAUAUACAAUACAAGUGAUAAUAGAGGAGAUAAAGAUUAGAACAUAAAACUUCCAACGGAGGGUUAGUGACGCUCUCAACCACGAUUUUUCGAGGUUUAAUUGAAUUUCUUUAAAAUUGAAUAUGAUUCAUACAUGGAAAAAUGAUUUGCUCGUAUCUUUAGAAAAGAAUCACUAAUUUCUACGGUGAAUGGAAACCUUUGGUUUCUCCACAGCCCAUAACAGAAGAGGGCAGCUUUCCCACCUUCUCCACCCCUUCUUCAAACACCACCCCCAUUCCCAUAUAGAAAUGUGACUGUAUAUGGCAAUGAAAUGCCCAAACACCUGGAUUAUCAGCUCUAAAUCUCAAUGCAGUCCAACCGUAAGGAUGUACCGGCACCGUGUUCUUCUUAAUCGGAUUCACAAGAUUGUACUUCCCAACAUCCUUCUUGAUGUCAAACUUGCCUGUCCCGUAUCCCAGCACCCAAAAAUCAUGUCCAUGGAGAUGCCACGGAUGCGUCUCGCUGUUGUUCACUGUCAUAGUGUUUGCAUUCUGUAAAAUAACAUCCACCGUGCUGUUGAACCUCAACCGGUAUAUCCCAUUGCUUGAAGUAGCAUUUACAUUCUUAGCAACGCUGUAUGUUUGUACCAUACUUGACCAAUCCCGAAACUACCGAGCACCGGCCAACGCUAUACUGUCAAGGACCCAGAAGAGUUCCCCUCCGACCAGGAGGCCAAUCACUACUCGACACGUGUCAAGAUUAGAAGCCAAUCAGAGCGCAGCACGUGUCGACAUCAAGAACCAAUCACAACAUGACACAUGUCAAUGUGACAAAGCUACAAGUUUUUCUAUAAAUAGGGGUCAUUCCCCCACAAUAUUGCCUAAUGCCAUUUUGUGUUAAAUCAUUCACAAGAACUCACUAAAUUGAGAGCUUGAUCCUUUGUACUUGUGUAAGCCCUUCACUACUAAUAAGAACUCCUCUACUCCGUGGACGUAGCCAAUCUGGGUGAACCACGUACAUCCUGUGUUUGCUUCUCUGUCUCUAUUCAUUCACGUACUUAUCCUCACUAGUGACUGAAGCUACCAAGCAACCAAGCGAAGGUCACAAAACCUGACACUUUCUGUUGUACCAAAGUCUUCGCUGAUUUUGUGCAUCAACAUUUGGCGCCGUCUGUGGGAAACGACACUUAUUCCUACUCUCUUCAGCUGUGUCAAGCUGGUUUCUAUCAUUCGUACACUUUCUUUUGAUCAGGCAUCCCUCUCCAACAUGGGAAGCGAAGGAAGCCACAGCACACAGAAUGACACCCCCCUUGCACAUAGUGCGAAACAACGAAAGAAGGAAGGAAAACGAGUUCUUUUCUUCAAGCUAAAGUCGAUGAGUUGGAAGCUCAGAACAACAAGAUAGCAAUGAGGAAUGAGGUCCUCCAGGAGCAAUAUGAGAAGCUCUUCGAGACACUCCACGAAGCUAGGCAAGCUCAGACACGCGAGCUUGUUGCCCCCGUGGAAGUCAACCAUCAACUGGGUGCCCUCCAACAUGGAGGGUCACAUGCAUUCGACAUAGAUAUCCCUGAUAGGGAACAGAUUACCCCUCGACUUGAUAAUCAACAUGAGGCUUCUCUUAACCCAGUUGCUUCGACCCGAACCAUGAGAAGUGGAGGGAGACACCUCUUUGCUGAAGGGGCAGAAGGAUCGAAGCCGUCUUUCGCGAUUGUCGGGAUUUCCUGAAGCAACGUCGAGAGAAUUCCAUCCAUAUAAGCUCAAAGAUCAAUGACCCAAGGAUUUCUGAGAGACUCGGUCCCCUGCCACGGCCCGAGCCGGCCACCAAUUUGGGGAAGGGGCAACAAGUCCUAGAGAGACAUGAGGGUACAGGGGACUCAGAGGUGUUCCGACAGACAUACCCUGGAAGCCAGUACAACGAGUCCAGGGAAAAAUCACAUGCCCUUGAUCAAACCUUCCUAAUUCCAAGAGGAGAUGGAGAUUUACGAAAGAAAGCUCCAGUGGCACAUAACUCCGCUCAAGACCCCCUUGUCCUACAACUUAUUGAGGAAGUAAACAAGUUGAAGGCUGAACGUCAGGCUGAAAUACCUGACUGGAACCAACCCAGGCCUGGCCCUCUUACAAGGAGGAUCCUCAACACCCCCCUUCAAGCAAAGACAAAGCAAAAGCUUGGCUUGCAACUUUAUACUGGAAAAGAGGACCCGAUUGAGCACCUUAACCUCUUUGAGUCCACCAUGGCAUACCGGAUGCACACCGACGAAGAGCGAUGUCUUCUCUUCCCCUCCACCCUCUCUGGUGGAGCUCUAAAUUGGUAUUGUCGUCUUACACCUGAGACGGUAGACUCAUUUGAGGAAUUGAGGAAACUAUUUGUUUCCCAACACAUUUUCCAAACCGAUCGCUUGCACUCUGCAGAUGACUUGUACACUAUCCGCCAGAAGCCAGACGAGUCAUUACGUAUGUAUGCUGGCCGCUUCAGCCAUGAAUACUCCCGGUGUGCCGAAGCAGAUGACAAGACUGCCCUCAAAGCCUUCACGGCAGGCCUACGUGAUUGUUUCUUUAAAUACAUGAUCAAUGCCAAUACUUGGAAGACUUACUCUGAGGUGAUGGCGCAGGCUUAUAACCAUGCCUCCGCCGAGGCAAAGACAUAUCAGGAGAAACCCCCUACAACCAUCCUUUAUCAACAAGUGGGAGGUGGAAGCCAGACUCACCUAAAUGAGAAGACCUCGACUUCCCAAACAGCAGUGGCACCUCCCCAUGCCUUGCAUAAUGCUUCACCGAAUCAACAGACAUAUCAAUUUCAAGGCAAGAGGAAGGAUUUCCAUCCUCACCACUCUCCUUUCAGUAAAAAGAGUAAGGGACACUAUCCCGAUAACCAAGGGUAUCGCCACAAAUAACGCUCGCCCCCAGGCAGUCAAUGCAGUGGGUCAAACCCGCGUCAAGAUACCCCCUACCCCAAGGUAUGAGACAUACACGCCCUUGAAUGCCACAUGCGCGGCCAUUUACCCCAGCAUAGCUCACCUGAUACCAAAAACCAAAGCCGAGGCACCCAGAUUACACGCCCCCCGAAUAACGCGGGCACGUUUUUGUUGCUACCAUGAGCAUAACGGCCAUGAUAGCGAGAAAAUGUAUCAUCCUCCGUGAUCGUAUUGAAGCUUUGGCACGAGAAGGAAAAAUUGAUCAAUUCCUUCUUCACCCUCAAAGGGAUAACCGUAACCAACGCCAGGUGAAUGUCAUAUAUUCCAUAAGCGGCGGCACACCCAUAUCUGAAUCUUCCAAUAGGGCCAUGAAAAACAGUGAACGAAGUCUGAGGCCUGGUCACCAAGUGUUUCACGUGGAAGACAUCAGGGGAGGGAAGUAUCAAAAACCUAACUGGGAUCCGAUAUGUUUCUACCCUGAGGAAGAAAGAGGCAUCAUCUACCCUCAUAACGACCCAUUGAUCGUGGAGGCUCACAUAGCCAACUUUGAUGUUCGACGAAUCCUCGUAGACACAGGGGCUUCGGUCAAUAUCAUGUUUGCCGAAGCUUUCAGGGCGCUCAGUGUAGCUGAACACUUGCUCGAUCGCUCGAUUUCUCCUCUGAUAAGCUUCUCCGGUGAUAUCGUGCAACCCUUAGGGAGCAUACAUUUACCCUUUACUAUUGGUACAGGCCCUUACACGGCUACCAUUACCACUAACUUCCUAGUGGUUGACUGCCCAACGGCAUACAAUGUCAUCUUUGGGCGCACAGGCAUCAAUGAUCUCAAGGCUAUGGUAUCCACGCAUAUGCUGUUGAUGAAAUUUCCAACCCCCAUGGCAACGGCUACAUCAGAGGAGAUCAGCUUAGUGCACGAUCAUGUUACAACACUUCAGUUAAGCAACAACACUUGCCCGGACCCAAGGAAACCCUGUCUGUACAUGACCAAGUCACAAAGACCAGCCUAGAUGAAGCGAACUUGGAUCUUCCUGAUAGCAACAAUCAACCCGAUGAUCCUCGAGAUGACUCUUUCACCCAGCAAGCCCAACCUGCUGAAGAGUUGGAGAAGGUACCUAUCUCAAGAGAUUAUCCAGAUCGCAUGGUGAAGAUUGGCACCACAUUGUCACCACCCCUUCGGUUAGCAUUGAUAUCUUUUUUUGAAAGAGAACACUGAAGUCUUCGCCUGGUCAUACGAGGACAUGCCAGGCAUUCUCUCCCGAUGUCAUCUGUCAUCGUUUGAGUAUUGACCCCAAGAUCAAGCCGGUGAGACAGAAGCGAAGAUCUUAUGACGCUGAACGAUACGAGGCAAUGAAAGCAGAAGUUGAAAAACUCAAAGGCAUAGGCUUUGUCCGCGAAGUCAAUUACCCGACAUGGGUAGCAAAUGUGGUCCUUGUUAAGAAAAAUCCGACCAAAGAAAGUCUUUUGCUUCAAAAGGUCUUGUGGAGAAUGUGUGUUGACUACACCGACCUAAACAAAGGGUGUCCGAAAGAUAGCUUCCCUCUUCCUCUUAUUGACAGACUUAUAGACUCUACGGCCGGGUGUGAACUCCUGAGCUUCAUGGAUGCUUACUCAGGAUACAACCAAAUCCUCAUGAACCCUUCGGAUCAAGAACACACACAGCCUUCACUACCGACAGAGGACUAUACUGCUAUAAAGUCAUGCCUUUCGGCCUAAAGAAUGCAGGAGCGACUUAUCAGAGACUAGUCAACUCAAUGUUCGCCCGAGCAGAUUGGGAAGAGCAUGGAAGUUUACGUUGAUGAUAUGUUAGUCAAGAGCAAACAUGCUGACCAACACAUCACCAACCUAUCUGAAACUUUCACUAUUUUGAAAGAGGUAUCGAAUGAGGUUAAACCCCAACAAAUGUGCCUUCGGCGUAGGCUCUGGCAAAUUCUUAGGUUUCAUGAUUAGCCAACGAGGCAUUGAAGCUAAUCCCCGAGAAGAUCAAAGCAAUCCUCGACAUGAAGGAACCGGUAACUUCAAAAGACAUCCAGAGCCUUACUGGCAAGGUGGCAGCCUUAACCAGGUUCAUUUCUAAGGCCACAGACAAAUGUGCUCCCUUUUUUAAAGUACUUAAGGGAAGUAGGAAGUACAUUACAUGGACUGAUGAAUGUGCCGAGGCAUUCAAAAACCUCAAGGAGUACAUGAGUAAAGCCCCUCUACUCUCCAAGCCCGAGGUAGGAGACAUUUCUCAUUAUCUACCUAUCGGUAUCAGCUUCAGCCGUAAGUUCCGUUCUCAUUCGAAAGGAUGGGAAUAUUGAGCGACCUGUCUACUACGCUAGCAAAGCCUUACAAGAUGCGGAGACACGGUACUCUAACAUUGAGAAAUUGGCUCUGGCAUUGGUCAUGUCUGCUCGAAAACUCCGCCCUUACUUCCAAGCGCACUCCAUCAUCGUGCUUACCAAUUAUCCCUCUUCGACAGAUACUCCAAAGUCCUGACACUUCAGGGCAAAUGAUCAAAUGGGCAAUAGCGUUGGGUGAGUUUGACAUCUCCUACCAACCAAAGCCAGCUGAGAAGGGCCAAGCAGUGGCAGACUUCAUUGCCGACUUCACAUAUCCGGUUGACAUUGCUUCUACACCUGAAGCAGUGGCUUCAAUUACCCCCAGAAGCUCAGAAGAUAGAACCAACAACCCCAGCAUGGAGUCUGUAUGUUGAUGGCUCAUCCAACCAACAGGGCUGUGGAGCGGGACUAGUCUUGACUACACCCGACAAAGUAGCAAUGGAGUAUGCUCUUCGUUUCAAAUUCAAGGCAUCAAAUAAUGAGGCCGAGUAUGAAGCCCUUCUAGCAGGAUUACGUUUGGCCAAACACCUCGGGGUUAAACAAAUUGAUAUUUUCAGUGACUCCCAAUUGGUGGUCAACCAGGUUACCAACAACUUUGAUGCUAAGGACAGCUCCAUGGCAGCAUAUCUUGCGCAAACACAACUUUUGCUCAAGCACUUCCACUACCAGAUCACCCAAGUUCCUCGAGCGGCAAACAGUCAUGCAGACGCCCUGGCUCGCCUCGCCUCGGCUGUGGAAGACAAGAUUGGAAGAAAAAAUUCAUGUCGAACUGUUGGCAACACCAAGCACCAUGGCCGCAGAAGUAUGCAACUUACAACAGGGGGAUAGUUGGAUCACCCCGAUCUAUAAUUUCCUUGCUCAUGGCAUCCUCCCAAAUGAUAAAGUCCAGGCUAAGCAAAUUCGAUACAAGUCUACCCGCUACCUGAUCAUCAAUGAUCAACUCUAUAAGCGAGGUUUUAGCCUGCCAUACUUAAGGUGUCUUACGCCUGCCGAGGCGGAAAUCGUCCUUCGGGAAAUACAUGAGGGAGUCUGUGGAGAUCAUGCUGGAUCUCGGUCCCUAGCACACAAGACUUUUCGCCAAGGAUAUUACUGGCCAACACUCCACCAGGAUGCCAUCAAAGUAUCCCGCUCAUGUGACAAAUGUCAACGAUAUGCGGCUAUUCCUCAUUCCCCUCCAGAGCCUCUUACUCCUAUGAUCAGCCCUUGGCCCUUCGCCCAGUGGGGGACUUGAUUUGAUCGGCCCAAUGCCGGCAGGGAAGGGCAAAGUCUGUUACGCAGUCGUUGCAGUGGACUACUUCACAAAGUGGGCCGAAGUAGAACCCUUGGCAACCAUUACUGAGGCAAAGAUAGAAGACUUCGUGUGGAAGAACAUCCUUUGUAGAUUCGGCAUUCCCAAUGCGAUAGUCACUGACAAUGGGCGACAGUUUGACAACAAGAAGUUCAGGUUGUUCUGCUCUAAGUUCAACAUCAACUUAUGCUUUGCCUCUCCAGCUCAUCCCCAGUCUAAUGGACAAGUUGAGGCAAUCAACAAAAUAAUCAAGCGCACUUUGAAAACCAGCUUGGACAAAGCUAAAGGCUGUUGGCCAGAAUUUGUACCCCAAGUUCUUUGGUCAUAUCGCACUUCAUAUCGGACUUCAACAGGAGAAACUCCAUUCUCACUUGCCUUUGGCACAGAGGCGGUUGUCCCUGUUGAGCUCGAGCAAGCAACAUUCCGAGUCCAGAACUACAUUCAAAGUGAAAAUGACAAACAACUCACCCUCAACUUGGAUUUAGUCGAGGAACACAGAAACCAAGCUCACUUGAGGAAUGUCGCCUACAAGCAGCGCAUCUCCAACUAUUAUGACUCUAGGGUCAAGCCUCGUUCUUUCAAAAUAGGAGACUGGGUCUUAAAGAAAAGAUUACUCUGCGACAGAGUCCCGAGUGAAGGCACACUUAGUCCAAACUGGGAUGGACCGUAUGAAGUCAUUGGCAUCAGUCGCCCUGGCUCUUACACACUUAGAAGCUCCGAUGGCAAGACCCUUGGCCAUCCAUGGAACGCUGAUCACUUGAAGUACUACUAUAAAUAGACUCACGAUGUACAAGUGUUGAGCUAUAGCCGUUCGGCAUCCUAUGUAAUGAAGGCCAUUUGGCAAUGAAUUCAAUAAAGAGGUAAUUGAGCUAUAUCCGUCUUCCACAGUCACUACAAAACAAGCAAAUGAAGACCGUGUCAAGCGCCAAAAAAAAAAAAAAAAAAAAAAAAAAAAAAAAAAAAAAAACAACUUCAUCCAAAAAGCUUCACCCGAAAAGCUUCACCUCCAAAAAGCUUCACCCACAAAGCUUCACCUAAAAAAGCUUCACCCAAAAAGCUUCACCAUCAAAGCUUCACCUAAAAAAGCUUCACCCAAAAAGCUUCACCUAAAAAGCUUCAACCAAAAAGCUUCACCAUCAAAGCUUCACCUAAAAAAGCUUCACCAAAAAGCUUCACCCGAAAAGCUUCACCUAAAAAAGCUUCACCCAAAAAGCUUCACCCGAAAAGCUUCACCUAAAAAGCUUCACCCACAAAGCUUCACCUAAAAAGCUUUCACCCAACAAGCUUCACCCGAAAAGCUUCACCUCCAAAGCUUCACCCACAAAGCUUCAACACCAAAGCUUCACCUACAAAGCUUCAACACAAAACCUUGCUCCAAAUAAACAAAUUUUGUUCACAAAACCCAAGAUGCCCUUGAACUUGUACAAAAACACUUGGGUAAACAUAAACAUUUUUUGUUUUACACCCACAAGGGCCCAAAAUUUUCCUUCUUAUUUAUUCACUUAUAUAUAUGUUCCCAAACAUAUUAUAAUAGAUCCAACAACAAGCCAAAGUCCCAAAUUUCAUAAUGGACAAAAGUACAAGCAAUUCAUCAAUAAUGAAGGUGCUACAAAAAUUGGAAUCUGCCCCAAAAUAGAGAAAUCCAACCCAAGAGACUUUUUCUCUCCCUCCCUCUUCCGCCUCCUUUCAUCUAUCAAAUUUCUGCAACCUCUGCUCUUCUCCAAUGGAGCUGAAUUUUUGGACACCCUAUAGUUCUUGAGCAUAUGAACAACUUUCAAGAAGGAACCAUUUCUGUUGGAGCGACGGAAAUUAAAGUGUUGAAGCUCCAAACAUGAUAGUCGGCUUCUUGCAGAUUUCGAAGCUGUUGUGAUGUUUCGAAGAUCUGGAAAUAUUUAACCGUUAGUUCAUCCUGAAUUUUUGAUAUGUUAUGAAAGAGUCGAUGAGGAACAACUUCAAUGAAGAAAGCAUACCGAUCUGAACAAGAGAAAAUGGAGUUUCGAAGCUCACAACAAAUCUGACGGGUUGACAGACAAAUAAUAACCAGUCAUUCAUCAUACCUGAGUUUCUUGAGUUAUACAGCUCCGAGGGAUCUCAAAUUUGGAUAUGUUGUAGUUCACAAGCUGAGGAACAACUUCAAUGAAGAAAAGCAUACCGAUCUGAACAAGAGAAAAUGGAGUUUCGAAGCUCACAACAAAUCUGACGGGUUGACAGAAAAAAUAAUAACCAGUCAUUCAUCAUACCUGAGUUUCUUGAGUUAUACAGCUCCGAGGGAUCUCAAAUUUGGAUAUGUUGUAGUUCACAAGCUGAGGAACAACUUCAAUGAAGAAAGCAUGCUGAUCUGAGCAAGAGAAAAUAGAGUUUCCAAGCUCACAACAAAUCUGACGGGUUGACAGACAAAUGAUAAACAGUCACUCAUCAUACCUGGAUUUCUGGAGUUGUACUGCUCCGAUGGCUCUCCAAUUUGGAUAUGUUGUAGUUAAGGAAUUAACGAACAACUUUCAUGAAGACAACUUUGUGAUUCGACCUACAGAUGAUGGUGUUAUGUUGAAAAACAAUUCCGGUUGUUAGGGGAAAUGAAAAACAAUUCCACCAAAGAAACAUCAUUAUGAUGUUUCAUCAUUAUGGUGUUUUCAUCAUUAUGAUGUUUCAUCAUUAUGGUGUUUUCAUCAUUAUGAUGCUUUCAUCAUUGUGAUGCUUCCAUCAUUGUGAUGCUUCCAUUAUGAUGUUAAUGCACCAACGGUUACACCUUCUGCAAUUCCACUUAUUCGGGCCUAGCAACCUUCAUCAACAAAAUCUAUGAAGAAAAAGUCCGGGGCUACCACUUAGAAAACAAAAGAAUGAAGUUUUGGUACUUACGACAUGGACUAUUAGCAAGACACCUCAUUCGUCAACUCCCUCGACUAGAGACUUGGGGGACUCCCACCAUAUGCUACUACGCCUUGGUACUCAAAAGUUCGUGACUACUCAGUGACUUGGAUUUUUCAAGUCUCCAACCGAGAAGUUUUCCUCACUCGGGAAAUUAAGGGAACACUACCUCAAACUACAUGCUUCACUCACAAAGCUUCAACAAUACAGGUUUCAACAAAAGCAAAAAAUUCAAAGAACUUUAUGAAGAAGGCUUUGGUGUAUUUAACACAAUAUGUUGAAAUGAAGCAAAGCUUAUUUAUUAAUAUUUUCGAUAAGCCACAAAUAUGUACAUAUACAUGAGUCAAAAUAAACAAACAAAAGGGAGCCUUCACAAAGGUUGCUUAGGGGAAGUCUCAGCAGUCGGUAGAGCCCCAGAAAGAGAAAGCACCGGAGGGUGGUUAUCCGGAGCCUCAGUACUUGACAAAACCCCAGAAGGAGGAGGCAUUGGAGGUUCAUCAUUUGAAGCUUCAUUACCAGGUACAGCCCCAGAGGACGAAGGCAAUAAAUGCCUUUGGAACAAACCCACAAACCGCUGAUGAUCAAGUAAAACCUUACCAUCAGAUUCCUUCAUCUGGUCAAGCUUCCUCUUCAUGUUUUGUAGCAUAGUCAUGGGCGAGCCGGUGCAACUGCUUAUUCUCAUGCUUGAGCCCUCUAAUCUCCUGUUUGAGACUCAUCACUUCAGCAGCCAAUGAUUCAACUUGGCGGGUUCUAGCAAAUAGGCGUUGGGCCAUAUUAGACACAGAACCUGCACACUGAACACUAAGAGCCAGAGAGUCCUUAACAGCCAACUCAUCAGACCGUUUGGAAAGUAGUCUGUUAUCUUUGGGAGUGAGAAGGUUCCUGGCCACCACUGCAGCGGUCAUAUCAUUCUUCAUCACAGAAUCCCCAACGGUAAGAGGACCAGUAGGGGAUAUGAAGGAUGGGCGCCAUAUAUUGUCUGGAGAAGGCGUGGCUGUCUCUUCUCCAAGGUUCAAGUCAAAACGACGGUCGGAGGGUCCAGACAUUUUCAAAUGUGUUGAAGAAGGAAGAGGUCAGACAAAUCAAGAUCUUAGAAGUGCAAGAAAUGAGCUUCUACUGGUAGAGAUUCAAGUGUGCUGUGGAACUUAAUGCCAGCCUCUAUAAAAAAUCUGCACUCGACGGAGCUUCAGAAAUCGAAGAGGCGUUUGCUUUCUCAAAAGCUGGGCUGCUCAGAGACCACGAGGGCCGAUCUCAGAAAUCGAAGAGGCGAAUGCUUUCUCAAAAGCUGGGCUGCUCAGAGACCACGAGGGCCGAUCUCAGAAAUCGAAGAAGCACCUGCUUUUUCAGCCUCGUCAGCACCUGUCACAUGCACACUCAGCUUUGCGGAAAUUACGGGCAAUCUGUCGAAGAUUUCUGGUGAAGUAGAAAGCACGUGAAUCUUACUGUUCAAUCACCGCUCUCUCCAUAUGCACCAUCAACUCCUCGGGUACCACAUAUAACUUUGUCAAAGAUCUCUGACAAAGUUUAGGCACGAGAAUUUCGAAGUUCCAGCUACCCUACUAUUACCCAUAAGGGUAAAGGAACAGCACCACUGCUUGACAACUGGAAAGUCCCUAUGUGUGUCGACCUCCGUGUUUUGCGGCAAGACAGGUUGGCAAAGAACGUCCAACCUUUACUCACAUUCGAGAAAAAGACUCCCAACAUAAUUACUUUCUCAAAAACCGGAGUAGCACCGCUUUCCGAAUCUCGAGAGUCAGAUCCUCGACGGGAUUGCUUGUUCGAAAACCGAAGAGGCACAACUCUCAGAACUUCGAGAGCCAGAUUUCCUUAGAUAAAGCUUGUCUGUAAUCUUCACACGUAAUAUCAGCUUUCCAGAUACCACAUACCACUUUUUCAAAGUGCUCUGACAAAAUUAAAACACGUGAAGCUGGCAGCUCCCACUACAUUGCUGUGACCAAGAAGGGUAAAGGAAUAGCAUUACUACUUGUUAUUGGGAAAUCCCUAUAUACAUUGACCUCCCUCCUCAACGGACAGGCAAACCUGCAAAAAUGCUCAACCCUUUCUCGCAUUCGAAAAGGCACCCUCAACAUAACCUCUCGAAAAUACUCAGCUUUAUUUCCCCCGAUAAUACCUCAGCAAAUAAGCCACACCAAGAACAAGAGUAUCUCAUAUCAUCAGGGUCGAAAGCAAGAGUAUCCCAUAUCAUGCUUUCUCCCUGUCUUUGUCUUUGUCCUUGUCCACACCUGCAGGACAAGGAGAAAGAGAGCAGUCAGUCGGAACCUGAAAUCAAACCUCCAAUUUGGAACUGACUGCCUGGAGCCUUUGCCUGGUUGCUUACUUAGCAUUGCUCUCGAGUACUCAUCCUCAACUGCUGUCAAGGUCACGAAUUCCACCGGCAAAUACCUCAUGACAGUUGAUCAGAUAUUGGCUCUUUUACACUGGAGCUGCCAAGCGUGGAUGAGUCACUAUGAAGGAAUGUUCUGAAGGACCAUUUAAAUGCAAAGGUUGCACACCACUUCUGCCAUGCAAAAGAUUGAAGCAGAAGGUUCAACGGUGAGCUGAAACAGAUCACUACAGCACGACACCUUUCCAUACCACAUUCAUUAUUCCGUCAACAGCAAAAGUAUCCCAUAUCAUCAAGGUCGAACGUACUCUAGAUUUGAUGGACUUGUUUUGACCCUCAAAUUUUUGAGUCGGCCUUAUACUCUGAAGGGCACCAGAAAACCCUCCAGCACAGUUCAAGAAUAAGCCUGUGGAAAGUUACUUCUUCAAAAGCAAAAGUAUCUCAUAUCAUCUCUUAUCCAUUUGCUUCUCCUUAUCCUGGCAGUUGAAUGAGAGACAAGGAGAAUGAGAACAAUCAACCGGAAGCCGACGUCAAACCUCUGAUCCUGGGUUGCUUACUUGGAAGUUUUGACUGCUUACCUUGUCUGUCACCUCUUUCGGCAGAUCUCCUAGCUCGGCGACUUGGGGGACUCCUACUAUAGGGUUCGUAUCACACUUGACUAAGCCCGAAACUACAACUAAGCUUCAAGUGAAAUUGAUACAUUACCUUGUGCGUCAACAUCAGCUAAGUACACCAUUCCCGGAUGGAGGAAAAGGUACUUCCAGAGAAGGGCAGAUGAAGAUCAGACCACACUUCGGUACUUAGAAGUUUCGUGAUUACUCUCAAGGGAUUGGAUCUUGCAAGUCCCCAACCGAGGAGUUUUCCUCACUCGGGAACUUAGGGGAGCACUGUUUGUACCAUACUUGACCAAUCCCGAAACUACCGAGCACCGGCCAACGCUAUACUGUCAAGGACCCAGAAGAGUUCCCCUCCGACCAGGAGGCCAAUCACUACUCGACACGUGUCAAGAUUAGAAGCCAAUCAGAGCGCAGCACGUGUCGACAUCAAGAACCAAUCACAACAUGACACAUGUCAAUGUGACAAAGCUACAAGUUUUUUCUAUAAAUAGGGGUCAUUCCCCCACAAUAUUGCCUAAUGCCAUUUUGUGUUAAAUCAUUCACAAGAACUCACUAAAUUGAGAGCUUGAUCCUUUGUACUUGUGUAAGCCCUUCACUACUAAUAAGAACUCCUCUACUCCGUGGACGUAGCCAAUCUGGGUGAACCACGUACAUCCUGUGUUUGCUUCUCUGUCUCUAUUCAUUCACGUACUUAUCCUCACUAGUGACUGAAGCAACCAAGCAACCAAGCGAAGGUCACAAAACCUGACACUUUCUGUUGUACCAAAGUCUUCGCUGAUUUUGUGCAUCAACAUUGUAUAUGUCGUAGUUCUCGAAGUCGUAGUUUUCCGGAGGAGGGUUUUGGUCGAAAACGCGGUUUAGGUUUACAUUUUCUUUUAGGGCUACUAAGUAAGGUGUGUGGGGAAGAGAGAAAGAUACAUUGUUUACGGACCAUCUGUGGACUCCAUCUAUCUUGUUUUGUGUGUUGAGAAGCACAAUCACUUUGUCUGAAGUGAGAGGAGGAGUGUGAGUGAAAUUUUUGUGGGCUUUGAGUGAAAGACUUUGUGCCAAUCUUUGUGCAGUUUCGUUCCAUAGGGGGCCUGCGGUCGGAAGAGUUGGAGGAGAUUUCUUGGGGUAGUUUGGAUAGUAAUUGAGGAUUGCUAGGCCGGUUAGGGUUGCAGGUUUCCGACUAACAACGUUUGUAGUCAUCCAGUAGUUUCUUGAUGGGUUUUGGUUUGCCUUUACCAGGAUAGAAUAGGUCUCGCCGGAGUAAAUGUAUAGGUUUUGGAUCUCAAAUGGCUCCACAUAAUGCCCAUCGGCUUCAACAACAGUCAUAUUGUGACCCUGCAUAGCAUUUUAUUUUGUCACUAAUAAAUACAAGCUUUGAAAUUUUUUAACAUAAUUGGAACUAUUAGAGACUUGGUGAGUAUUGAGUUAUAUUUACCUCAAUUUGAAAAUUUAGAGCUGAUAGAGAGGUCAAGCUACUAAUCCUUAAUCGGUAUGUUUUUCCGGAGAUUACUGUCAGAAUAUAGGAAGAACAAUCAGGAUUUGUCGCGUUACAGACCCCGGCUUCUAGGCUAGGAGUUGCUAGUAGAGAGCAGUUGAAUCUCCCUCUUCCAUUAAUCAAAAGUGACUGAAAAGUUAAUGGAAUGUACAUUACCAACAGUGUAAAGUAGUAUGUACUUUUGUAAUUUUGAUCAAUGAAAAUAGGCAUUUACCUGAGGCUCCCCAACCCAAACAAAAGGUAUGGAGGACAAGCCAGUAGCUUGUUCAAAAGUACUUUUGUGGUACCAGUCAUUAAGGAUAAUGCUUCUGUCAUAAUCAUAGACAAAGGGCUCAGAAACUCCGUUAGGAACCGAUACAAUAAUCGAUCCAUAUAACCCGGCUUCUCUUUGAAUUCCAUAAUGUGCAUGGUAUAGAUAUGAUCCAGCCUGCAAUUUAAGCCAUCAAAACUUGUAAGAUGGAUUAAAACAUUGUUUAUAAUCAUAAGCAUAUAUAAAAUCAUUCGCCGAGGCUGAUCCUUUGAUUCAUUUUCACUGAAAAAUUUGCAGAUACGCAAAAAAAGGGUAAUGUUGUAUUUUCACAAUAUAUAUCUAGCAUGUCACAUCAAAUUGUCAGUUUGAUAUCAUAGAAUGAUCAAUGGUUCAAAUUGACAGUAUGACAGCAUAACAUGUCAGAUAUAUAUUAUCGAGAAAAAUUCCGUCCAAAUUAUUGGUUCAAGCUCCAAAUCUUACCCUAUCCACAACAAAUUUGUAUAUGAAGAUAUCUCCAGGCAAAAUAGGACAUUGAGUCACACCUUCUGUUCCAUCACUCCAAGGUGUUCCAAUCUACAAUAUUAACUCAACAAGAGAACAAAACUCAACAUCUAAAAAGUUGUAUUCAAACGCCGACUUGAAAAUGAACAAACGCCGACUUGAAAAUGAACAUCAUGGUAUGAAACGACGUACCUGUCGAAUUCCAUGCCAGUGGAUCGCUACAUUCUCCGUUAACAAGCUGUUCUUAAGCUCAACUACAACUGUGUCACCUUGCUGAGCCAAUAUUUUUGGUCCUGGGGUUCCCCCAUUGAUGGUUAUGACCAGCUUCUUAAAGCAAUCUGGAGAUUUGUACUCAUACUUCACCUCCCAUCUGUAAUGCCGGAUUCGACCUUCGACCUUCGACACAGCUACCGAAAAAAUCAAAUGACAUAAAACCAACAGCUUCACCAAAGUUCUGCAUUCUAAAAUCUCAACCAUGUUUAAUUAUGCUGAAACUGUACAAACAACUUUAGGCCUGGCAUGUAUAUAUAUAUAUUGAAACAUAUCUUACUGAAAUUUAAUUAGAUUUGGCUUUGCAUGAAACUAUGUAUCCAAUACAAAUCUUGGUCAAAUAGAACGGCUCGAAGAAUAUUUAAAAUCUGGUUGAACUUUCAAGCUUAUAAAUUUGCCAAAAGGAUGCAUGUGGUCUAAAAUAUCCAUAAUAUCCCGAUAUUUUCAUCGAAAUUUCCAUAUUUUUGGACUACCGAUAUUUCCGAUAUCAUCGAUAUUUUAGACCUUGCUAAGUAAUUCAUGUAUCUUAUCAUGCAAUGUAUAAAGUGUAAAUUAUUGUACUAAUUCAUUAUAUAUAAAUGAUUAUGGUGUGUUUAAACUUCUUUCAUUAAUUACUACAUAUUUUCUACACUCACAAUGUUUGCUAGUUCGCUAUAUAAUCAACUUAAAUCAGUUAUAUCUAUCAUGCAAUGCAUUUCCUUCCAAUUUUUUGUGAUAAACUAAUAGAUAAUUGACUAAAUAAACAUCCUGCAAAGUUUCAAUAAAAAUUUCCAAGUUUUUCUUACAAUUUCCGUGGUUUUUAUUCAAUUUUUAUCGAUAUCAAUAAUAUCCCGAUAUUUCCAUCGAAAUUUCCGUGUUUUUGGACUACUGAUAUUUCCGAUAUCAUCGAUAUUUACUACCUUUGGUUUCUUUGUAGAUGAGUGUGAACAAUGUAUAUAUUAAGAUUGUUCUAAAAAUCUCCUCCUAGCGUCGUCUGACUUCGCCUAGGCGCUAGGCGGAUAUUUACUCACAUAACAACGAUAGAUAAAGGCAUUAUCACAACUUAGGGAUGGUGAGCAAUCCCAAUAAAAUAGAACUUAAUAUAUACAUAUUAAAAACAAAAACAAAUGCAAAAUCUCCGGAUGACUAAUACUAUUCCAAGUCAUGCAUGAAACAUACACAUUUGUCCCUUCAUGCCACUUAGUUAUAAGCAACCAUCAUGCAUUCACUAAUACUAUUCCAAGUCAUGCAUGAAACAUACACAUUUGUCCCUUCAUGUCAUUUGGUCAUAAGCAAAUAUUAUUCCAAGUCAUGCAUGAAACAUACACAUUUGUCCCUUCAUGCCACUUGGUUAUAAGCAAACAUCAUGCAUUUACUAAUACUAUUCCAAGCCAUGCGUGAAACCUAUACAUUUGUCCCUUCAUGCCACUUGGUUAUAAGCAAACAUCAUGCACAAGUUGUUUACUAAUUAGUAUUACUACUAUUAGCUUGUAGUAUGACUGUUUUCUUUAUGUUAUUCAUAUGCCCAAGACAUUGUAAGAAAUAAUUUUGAUUAUUCAAAAUGAAUCAACAACUAGUUGUACAGGGUUACAGUCAGUGUUACUCCCAACUUGAUAAAGAAAGAAGAAAAAAAAAAGGAAGUCGACUUCCAAACUAAAAUAAAAUGUAUAUAAAUAUAGAAAUUUGUUAUUAGCACUCCAAAAAUCUCAUUUGGCACUCCAAACUUUCUAUAAUUAGAAAGAAAAAUACACUUGUGCGAAGUGUAGAAUGAGAUUUUUGGAGUGCUAAUAACAGUUCCCUAAAUAUGUCUUAACAAAUAUUGUACGUGGCAUUGACUUAGACUUUCAUGAAUAAACUUGUAAUUUCUGGUAUCAUUUAGUUGGAUUCUGUUGAGUAGUCCGGAAUCCUUGCUCUUGCUCAUUUUCAUAAGUUAGUUUGGAGCCCUAGAUUCGAGUGAAUGAGGAUUAACCACAAUAGAUCUUGUGAAUAUAAAUGAAAUUUACCAUGUUAUUACUUCUAAUCCAAGUUGGGAAGUACGUAAAGUUCUUUAAUUAUAUUCGUGAAAAGAUAUGUUAUUUCAUUGAUUGAUUCACGUAGUUAGAUGUUAAUAUCGUGCAUCUUUGAUUCAUGGAAUUGAUUAAUUGAUGUGAUUGUGGAGUGUCGUUGGAUAGGAUUGUUAUUAUUAUGAAUAGAUUAGUAGAUCAAUGUGGCUUGAGAAUAAUAAUGUGCUUCAUUCGUUGGUUCUUUGAUAUGUUACAUGUGGUGGAUUAAGGUAUCAUGUUGAAAACAUAGUGACUUAUAUGAUGGAUGGAAUGGAAAUCUUGAAUAUCAUGUGGGUUUGUUAUGUAGCUCUGGAUCUAGUAAUUUCAUGCUUGUCAAGUUCUAAUAAAUGAUUAAGGAAUGCUAUGCUUUUCUGCCUGAACAUACUGUGGUAAGCGUUGGAGUGUAGUGAAUGGUGAACUAUGAAUGACUUGAUCCCUUUUUAGGAUACGUAGGCAGUCUAACAAGGAAGUUAUAUGCAGCCAUAAAGUAUACGAAAAUUACUACGCAAUUCGAAUCUUGAAUUAGGCUUUGUACAUAUCCCGAAGGUGGGAUCUGUUGGAUAUACGGAUACUUAGUGACGUCACGUGUCGAUCUUAGACGUAUGUUGGGAUCAAGGCGUGACAUGCUCUUAGGUUUGAUUAUCAGUAAAAGCGAAUUGUGACGCUAAUCUCACCUCCCUCCCUUUUAGUGUAGAUAAUAUCGUUUGUUAAAAAAAAAAAAAAAAGUAGUGCAAUUUCAAUUGAAGAUUUCACUUUAUUUACAGAAUUGCCAUUUCUAAAACGAGGCAUGAUUUGGGCUGGUGCGUUUUGGGCACGGAGUGGGCUGUCUAGUGGGUAGGUAGGAUUACCAUUUUGCCUGCUUUAAUCUUGAUCCAACGGACAGGAUUUGGGGGCAGUUCGGUCAAUUUAGAGUUAGGGUUAGGGGGUUUCUGGUGUCGGUGGAGUGCGUGCAGGAAUUGGGAGAAGAAAGAGGGGCUUCCAUCUCCAUUUCUCUCUCAUAAACUCUCCUCUCUCCUCUGUCACCCACAAUCAAAUCCACCACUCUCUCUCUCUCCUCUCUCCUCACUGUUUAUAGUUUUAUAAACAGUGCUAUUUUUAAUUUUGAAAUAGUGAUUUUAACUUUAGUUUGGAUAACUUAUUAAGUUUGUCUUUUGGAUAAAUUAUUAAGUUUGUGUCAUAUCAUAUGAGUAUUUUCAGAAUUGAAAAUUGAUUAUUUCUAUAAUUGAACACGAAAUAUAUUUAGGAAAACUAAUGAAAGAUGUUUCAAAACUUUGAAUUUUUUUAACAAACAAUAUUAUCUAAAUUAGGGUGAGGGCACAGACUUAGACCUAGUUUGGGAGUGAGGUGCUUAAAAAAAAAGCUCCCAUGAAAAAAAGCUGUGAGGGUUUUAGGUGUUUGGUAAACUGAAAAAAAAAUGGCUUAUUUUGGAAGCUGCUGUGAGAAUAAGCUG
rnacentral:lncRNA from 1 species